UGGAUCAUCAUUAAACUGUUCAAAUCAGUCUCCAAUUACAAGGAGGAAGAAGGGAAGAAAAAAAAUCCAUCUGAAUGUGGAAAAAAAAAUAAAUAAAGAAAGAAAGAAAAAUAAAAAAAAAAGGGAUAUUAAGAUUAUUCAAGCUUUUGUUCCUUAGCAUUUUUGAAAGCUUAACUGCAGUCUCAUGGGAAAGGCUCCCCUUGACAACCAACCUGAACUUAUUGAGUCCUGGCUGAUGGCCACAUUGCUGCACAGAUGGCUGAGCUGACAAAAUCUGUAGUUUGGAGCAUCCUGAAGCACAAGCUUGAUGCUGGAUUUUGUAUGGACUCGUGUGAGUGUCUUAACAACCAACAUGCUACCUGCUUUGUUAUCUUUCUGUCCUCAUUGAGUGAUGGCUAUGACCUGGUGCAGAAUGUGAGAAUGUCUGAAGUCCUACAAAUUCCCCAAGGACAGGAAAUUUCAUUCAAGCACAGCAUUUUUGCCAUGACUCUCCUCUUCAGCUCAUCCAGAACCCAUGCUGUUGUCCUCACUUUCUUUGCUAAAAUCCUAUCCUAACUCCUCAUAAGAAAAAUACAUGUGAAAUUUAGUUGGAACAUAAGCAGAGGGUGGGGCAAGAUACCCUGGCUAAAAAGAGCCCAGACACACAAUGAAGGAGGUGGUAGUUACUGGAUGUGCUCAAAAGUUUUUAUUGCAAAGAAGCUGCCUUGCAGGUCACACACAUUUAUAUCCACUGGGAGCAGUCAGUCAGAAGAUGAAGUGCAGGAGGCCAAAGGAAAUUAAAUAUAUCAAAUUAUCUAGGUGUAAGAGCUGAUUGACUAAGAGACUAUUAUAUGACUAUCAAGGGUCCAUGCCUCUUUAUAGUUUUGGAUGCAGGAUGUGGCUGUCAAUCACAAUUUAUCAGCAGCAUUGUUUCAUUAGCAACAUAAGUCUACUCAGCUCUUGUGCCAGGGUGCUGGGCAGUGGCAAGACCUGUCUGCUGGAGAGCGUGCAGACUUCUGCAGUAGUUGAAAAAAAUAACAGAUUCUGCCUUUCUGUCCACCUCUCAAUUAUCUAGGUGAUAUACAAUGUAUAAGAUAAACAUCAGUGACUGAGAAGUAACCUUGGAAAGAAGAUCAGAAGUAAAUUGGUUUACAUGCUUGAGCUGGUGCAUGAGCUAAAAUUUAUAUGCUGUAGCUUUGAAUUCUUAUACUGUAAAGGGGAAGAAUGAGCAGAUUUACUGCCUUGUAGCUUUUUUGAAAAGGCUAUUCCAAAUAUUUUUCAUUUAAGCCUUGCAAAGGCUCAGUAUUUAUAUAGUUCACAUGGUACAAUUAAUGCCUACUUAUCUCUCUGCUCUUCACAUAAAACUUCUAAAAAGGCAGACAGAUGUCUGACGUACUUUAAAACUUUAAGCCAAUAUGCAGAAAGGAGCAUAGUAAUAUUUUCCUCACGUCCUCUCAACCCAUUCCAUUAAUAUUUAUCUUUCAGUAAUUAGCGGAGAAGCUAAACAAUAUUAAUACUUGUUAACAUGUAGGAUUUUGUUUGUAAGCAAAGUACAGACUGAACAAAGUACAAGUGGACUUUGACGAAGUACAGACUAACAGAACACAAUUGGCAUUGCUGGAACUGGCCACCAGUGCCUGGGGAUUCAUCUCAUAUUAUACCUUAUUAUCCAGUGCCAGCUGGCUUAUUCAUUUCUGGGAUUGAUGGUUGCGGUGAGAGACCAGAUCAAGCUUUUCUUGUCCUAGCAGAAAGAGCUCAUAUGAGAAGGCAAUGCUUGCAUCUGUCACUUGCACAUAGAGUCUGCAUUACAUGUACUACAGUGAGUGAUGUUUCAACAAGAUUUGCUGAAUUGACACAAACUUUCCCGUAAGUGGUGUACUACUGAGAAACUGGAGGCAAACAAGAGUAGACAAGGGAACCAGUGUUUAAGCUUUCAGAAGUCUUUGUCCACACAUUUGUCAGCACUAAAAAAACAGAUGUCCAGUGGAGGCUGGGAUGGUCAAGACUUUGAAGCUCAGAAACCCCCGCAGCUAACUAAAUUGCUUGGAAGCUUUAUGGAUGUCCUUUUACAGAAGGGAAAUUUGAUCCCAACAACAAAAUGUUUUCACUCAUGGCCAGAUGACAAUUAAAAUCGAUAAACUCUGAUGACUCCCUUAGCAAAAGAGACCUGGAAACACAAAGCAGUUUUUAAUGCCAUUCUCCUUUAUGUUUGGUGAGGAAGCUGGAAUCAGUCAGUGCUUGGGCCAACUGCUGCACUGGUGGAAGUCCUGGCUCCUUCCAAAGCUUUCUGAGUCUCUGCUGAAGUGGCCACAGCCAAGACUUUGAUCUGGAAUUGCAAACUUCAUAAUCAUUACCAUUAAUCCAUUGCACAAUUACGUGUUUUGCCACAGAUUUAUUAAAGUGGUAUUAACUGGUAUUUCACAAUCUCCUCCUGAAGAGGUGAAGCAACUGUAGAUUUCUGAAGGUUUAACACUUGAAAGACACUUCAGUGUCUUCCAGUAUUCAACAGAAAAGUAAUUUCACAUAAUUUCAUCAAUGUCAAAACUUAACCCUAGUUGGCUUUCCCUUACUCUUGCCUAGAGUACCCUUGACACCCUCUCUGUCAGCUGAAAUGAAUGUUCUCCGUAUUGGUGGGUUAAUUAUUUUCAGCAUGGGUUAAUUAUUUUCCAUGCUUAGCCUGAAGCACCUUAGCUGUUUGUAUUGACAUAGAAAGAAAUUAUAAAAUUGAGGGUGUUUCAAAAAUAUUUGUACAUAGAAAAGUAGCUGUUUAUGGAUUGUUACUGAAUUGAAUUGAAUUUGACUUAGAAAUUAGCUCCAGCUGCAGUAUAGCCUUUCUUUAAAUGGAAAAAAAGACAAAUUUUUGUCUGUGAUCUAAUUAUAUAUCAUUUCCAUUGAACACCCAGAACGUGCUGGUUGCAAUUCUGAGUGGAUGACUUAGUACAAGAAAGGAGAUUUCUAUUUGACUUAUUCUUAAUCAGAAAAUACAUUUCUAUAUACAAAAAGAAAAAAGAAAAAAAAAAAGAAAAAUGAAGUUUUAAUUCUUUAAAAAAUCAGCUGAAAGUUUUUAAUUUUCUGUAAAAAAAAAAAAAGUUAUUUCCUGGCUAUGUGUUUUUUUUUUUUUUUUUUUUUUUUUUUAACUAAAAACCAUAUUAUUGCAAUAUUAUUUCAUUUUUAGAAAGGGGAGGUUAUCAUUGCCUUUUGUUGCACUAGUUAUUAAAAACACAUUCAAUGAAUGAAACCUUUCUGCUCUGUUAGUUUUCAUGAGUCUUUUAAAAUUAUCAGACAAUCUGUUGAAUGUAUAGAUAUUUUUAUCACUCAUGUCAAAAUCCAUAAACAUAUGUCAGUCGCUUAGUUGCACUGUUGUUUGAAAUGCUGCAUUAAUGGAAUAAAGAUGAAUCUUACUGUAGACUCAAGAGCCUGAUGCCCACAGCUCCUGGUGCUUUCUCCUUUUCUCUGUCAUCAAGUGAACCAUCAGAAUAGAAAUGCUCAAGACUACACCUACAGAACUGCAACAGAUCAGAGUCCUGCCUCAGAAGAUGAUAACAGGCAUGUGUAGUCAGUCCUGCAGUAACCCUUGAUAUACUUGGGAGCUGCAGUAGUACUUCAGACCAUUAAUUCUAUAAACAUUAAAUAAAUGCUUGAUCUUUACAUUUUUAUUUUUUUUUUUUAAAUGGAUAAUUGUAGUGGCUCUUUGACUAUGAGACUCAGCUGAAAUAGAAAACAGAGAGGCAACAUUUUGAAAGGGAUUAAAAU